AUUGAACGCUGGCGGCAGGCCUAACACAUGCAAGUCGAACGAGUGGCGGAAGGGUGAGUAAUGUCUGGGAAACUGCCCGAUGGAGGGGGAUAAAUAGUGGAAACGGUAGCUAAUACCGCAUACCAUCGGAGGUGACCAGAUGGGAUUAGCUUGUAGGUGAGGUAACGGCUCACGUCGGCGACGAUCCCUAGCUGGUCUGAGAGGAUGACCAGCCACAGUGGAACUGAGACACGGUCCAGACUCCUACGGGAGGAAGCAGUGGGGAAGAUUGCACAAUUGGCGCAAUCCUGAUGCAGCCAUGCCGCGUGUAUGAAGAAGGCCUUCGGGUUGUAAAGUCCUUUCAGCGGGGAGGCGUUACCCGCAGAAGAAGCACCGGCUAACUCCGUGCCAGCCGCCGCGGUAAUUC
rnacentral:rRNA from 1 species